AGUCGAACGGCAGCACGGGGGCAACCCUGGUGGCGAGUGGCGAACGGGUGAGUAAUACAUCGGAACGUGUCCUGUAGUGGGGGAUAGCCCGGCGAAAGCCGGAUUAAUACCGCAUACGCUCUACGGAGGAAAGGGGGGGAUCUUAGGACCUCCCGCUACAGGGGCGGCCGAUGGCAGAUUAGCUAGUUGGUGGGGUAAAGGCCUACCAAGGCGACGAUCUGUAGCUGGUCUGAGAGGACGACCAGCCACACUGGGACUGAGACACGGCCCAGACUCCUACGGGAGGCAGCAGUGGGGAAUUUUGGACAAUGGGGGCAACCCUGAUCCAGCAAUGCCGCGUGUGUGAAGAAGGCCUUCGGGUUGUAAAGCACUUUUGUCCGGAAAGAAAACGCCGUGGUUAAUACCCGUGGCGGAUGACGGUACCGGAAGAAUAAGCACCGGCUAACUACGUGCCAGCAGCCGCGGUAAUACGUAGGGUGCAAGCGUUAAUCGGAAUUACUGGGCGUAAAGCGUGCGCAGGCGGUCCGCUAAGACAGAUGUGAAAUCCCCGGGCUUAACCUGGGAACUGCAUUUGUGACUGGCGGGCUAGAGUAUGGCA
rnacentral:rRNA from 1 species